rnacentral:rRNA from 1 species
UACGGAGGGGGCUAGCGUUGUCCGAAGUUACUGGGCGUAAAGCGCGCGUAGGCGGGUUGGUAAGUCCGCUGUGAAAGCCCGGAGCUUAACUCCGGAGGGGCGGUGGAUACUGCCAGUCUUGAAGGUGCUAGGGGGAGAUGGAAUUACCGGUGUAGCGGUGAAAUGCGUAGAUAUCGGUAGGAACACCAGUGGCGAAGGCGGUCUCCUGGGGCAUUCUUGACGCUGAGGCGCGAAAGCUAGGGGAGCAAACGGG